UUUUCAUAGCUCAGUGUCACUGGGCUGAGCCCAGUGGUCCCCAUCCUGGCCCCCAAUCCCAGCUUACUAACCUUCUUCUCUUGGGGUAGAGGGCAUAGAAAAGCUUAGUGACAUGCCCUAGGGUCCAACCUGAGGAUGGGGAUAAGCCCUGCCCUCCUGUGUCCAAGAGAUCCAUGUAGAGCUGCCAGGCCUGCCUGCCACAGACUGCUGGAGUGACCUGGAACCCGGAACUCUCUUUGUCCCUUGCUUUCUCACUGCUUUGGCCAGUUGGCUAGAGGCCUUUGGAGGGUACUCAAUAUAGUCCCUGUCCUCAAGACUACUCACCUUGCCUAUACCCCACCCCAUCCCCUCACGGCCUCCUCCAAAAAUCUCUCCCAGCUUGGUAGGACUUCUGACUCUCAUCCUUCUUCCUGGACACAGGUCCCGAGUGUCCCUCCCAAGGGGAACAGAGCUCAUCUGGCCAGAGCCCUGGCAUCACUGGAGGGCCAGGGCCUGGUGGAGCCCAGAGCUACAGUGAUGUGGUACUGGAUCUCCAGGGCCCAAGCAUCAUUCCCAGCUGCAGUUCGGAACCAGGGGUGUUUGGAGAAAAGCUUAUCUGGGCUUCUGCCUGCCGUGGACGAGGCUAUCAACCAUGGUGGACAUUCUGUCUCUUCUUGAGGACUGUUACCCAUACCCACCCCAGGGUUGGCAACAAGAUGGCCUGUAUACAGCACUGGCUCAGCUCGACCCAGAAGCCGGGGAGGGAGAUGUCGUCGCUGCCCUGCCGUACACCAGAGUCUCCAAAGUUAAUGGUCUCAGCUCCUGGGGGGGGUGGGGGGAAGGGUAGGCACCUGAAUUCUCCCAGAGCACCUCUUCCAGGCAGCUCUGAGUUCCCCCAGGGCACACUACAUCCCUCCCUGGUGGUGACAGGGCUCGGGCUGGGCCAGACCAGGCGGUGACAUCAUGAAAAGAGCCUUGCCAGUACUUUCCCGACCUCGGAAACCCCAGCAUCCCGCUCCAGGAACUGGCCUGCGGCACUGGCUUUGGCUGGCUGCCCCAGGAGUGUGGCAGGGAGGCCCGGAGGCCCCCCCCCCUGCUCCAGAGUCUGCUCCUUCAGUCUCUUCCCUUCCAGGGCCUUCCAGGGAUCCUGGGCCAG